AUUGAACGCUGGCGGCAGGCCUAACACAUGCAAGUCGAACGAGUGGCGGACGGGUGAGUAAUGUCUGGGAAACUGCCUGAUGGAGGGGGAUAACUACUGGAAACGGUAGCUAAUACCGCAUACCAUCGGAUGUGCCCAUAUGGGAUUAGCUAGUAGGUGGGGUAACGGCUCACCUAGGCGACGAUCCCUAGCUGGUCUGAGAGGAUGACCAGCCACACUGGAACUGAGACACGGUCCAGACUCCUACGGGAGGCAGCAGUGGGGAAUAUUGCACAAUGGGCGCAAGCCGGAUGCAGCCAUGCCGCGUGUAUGAAGAAGGCCGUCGGGUUGUAAAGUACGUUCAGCGGGGAGGCGUUACUCGCAGAAGAAGCACCGGCUAACUCCGUGCCAGCAGCCGCGGUAAUUC
rnacentral:rRNA from 1 species